AUGGUUAGCUGUGAUGUUCGAUGGUUAUACCCCCCCUUCCCCCCCCCCUUUAUGUUCAACUACUCUACUGAGUGUUGGUGAGUCACGUCACAUGACCCACUUGACCUGUAUGCUCAAGGUUGAGGGACGAGCAGUGAACAAGUAGCAGCCAACGAGAACACUCCUGCUCGUCUCUGGUAACUGGCCAAAGUUUAUAAUCCGGCCUGGACAUAUUCUGUUUUAUUCUGACUGCUUCCAAUUGGGAAACAAGACUUCAUACAUUAAAGUAAUCUCUAUAUACAUAUAUGUUAUAUCUAGGAUCUCCUCCUAAUCAUCUGCUUAUAUAUAUUUUGGAUAAUAUAGAACAUGCAUUCUUAACUUAUAUAUGAUAAUUCGUAUAUUAUUUCUGGCUUAUGUUGUAUUAUGAAUAUACUUAAUUAAAAUUAGGCAUUCCGGAGGAUCACUAUUAUUACCCUAACCUCUCUGACCAAAGUUGUUAUGCUCUAAAAAGGAAAUAGUGGUUACAAUACUUGGAGUGUAACAAGUGGGGGCCUGUGUCCGGGAGCAUAACACUGAAUUUCCUUUAAAAUGAAUGUAGAAAUGGCAGAGAGGUUUGAAGAUAUAACAAAGGAGAGAUUACAGAAUUUGAAGCUUCAAUCUUGUUGGCAAUUAGCACGAAGCUUGGGCAUAAAAUACGACAGGCAUUUCACUGCCCAGACAGUCAGAUGUAUGAUACAGAAUGUCCUUUUUCCAGAUGAGCAGGAGACUGAGAAUGGAGAAGCAGAUAUUCCUUCCUUUUUGAAUUCUUUACUACAGACAACCGAGGCCGAAACUACGACGCUAACAACCCCUACUGGAGACGACGGACAUGACCUUCCCGAUACUCGGAAACGCUACGCUGCUACAACGACUCCAAUUCCAUCUCCAAGGACUAUAUGGGGAACAGAACUCCAUCAGGCUAAAGAAACGGUUCCAGGUAAACCCUUUACAGAUGUUUUUGAAACAGAACAAGAGGAAGUCCUAUUGGAUGAUGAACACAUUCCACCUCAAAUCUCUUUAGCCCUUUUGACUACUAUUCAAUCUAAGGAGAAUUUCGAACGUCUAGAACGUAUUUUAUCGCUUCAAACCUCCUUUGUAGAAGCCCAGAGAAAAUUAAAAAGGGAGAAUUUUGAACGUGAAUCUUUGCUUUAUGAACGGGAAUUACUGAGGAAGAAAAGAGAAUCGAGUAAUAUGUAUACAAUCCCUUCAUUUGACCUUAGUAAAGCAGCCUCUUUGAUGCCUAAAUUUACUGAGGAUAAUUUAGAUUCAUUUUUUGAAGCAUUCGAAAAUCAGGCGAAGGUGAUGCAAUGGCCUCCUAAAUAUUGGGCUGCUUUAAUACAUUCAUCUUUAAUAGGAAAAGCUCAAACCAUAACUGCAAACUUACCUUUUGAACAAUAUUCUGAUUAUACUCGGGUAAAAGAUUGUCUUUUGAAAGCUUACGAUUUAUUACCUGUUAGUUACUUGAAGAUGUUUAGAACUCUGAAGAAAUAUCCUCAGCAGUCUUGGGUGGACUUUGCCAGAGAAAAAAUCUCUGCUUUCGAGCGUUGGCGUAGGGCUGCGGGAGCUGCCUCAGCCGAGUCACUUUCCCAGCUGAUAUUGCAUGAAGACCUUUUUAAAUAUUUUCCAGAGAGGGUUCAUACUUAUCUUUUGACAUUUCCUACUACUAACUUGUUAGAUACUGCUGCCCACGCAGAUCACUUUGAAAUUUCCCAUGCUAUAACCACAGAAAUGUCUAAGACCCUGGAAAAGAAAUCUACCUCCCAAGGUUUUAGUUCAAGAUUGACUGCUAGGAAAGCUCCAGCUGGCGAACCUUUGAAGGUGUAUUCAGACAAAAAACAGGUGACAAACGGCUCUUUCUCCAGGCAUUACCCUAAAGAUCAAUUACCACAGUGCCUUUUUUGUAAAAAGUUAGGUCAUAGACAGUUCCAGUGUUGGCAUAAACAGCGGGAAGAUAAAACCCAACCAAGAGGGAGAUAUCCUACUCAGGUAAUAAAUUCCUCUCGGAAGUAUGAAACUCUGGAUGAUGAAUCUUUACCUUUCCAGGCCUCGUCUAGCAGACCGUCUAAUAGAUGACUUUACCACGACAGUGCUUCAGAAAAAAAGGUCCGAGUAGCUAUGGAACCCUACUUUUCCCAGGGGAAGUUCGGACUCUGUAAAGAGAGGUACGAGGACCCCUAGCCAUAUUACAAGAUUCUUGGAUAGGGAAGAGAGGACCUCUUCAUCCCAGUCCUCUGCUUUGGAAAGAACAUCUCUCCAAAUUAAAAAGCUUAGCUGCCGUGAAUCUGACAGAAGCUCAAGCCAAAAUGAAGAAAUCUUACGACCAAAAGGCUAAAUCUCAUUCAUUCUCUCCAAAUGAAUUUUUUUUUUUAUAUUUUAUUUAAAAACUUUACAGCUUGAUAUUAAAUAAAGAUAUAAAAUGGGUACAGUAGGAUCCUCAAUCCUACAGAACAUACACUAACCAAUUAUUAACAACACAUUGUAAUUGACAUAAAAGAGGUUACCCAUAUACACUCACAAAAUUUUCUAUAUAACAUACUAUGAUAAACAAUAUAAACUAUAACUAUAUAAACUAUAUAAAAUAUAAACUAUAUACAACUUUCAAAUUUGUAUAGUUAACAUAGUAUGACAUAUGACAAAGGUUCACAACCUUCACAGGAGAUAAUCAGAGUAAUAACCUACAUCACAAUCUCAGUUAUACAAUUACAUGCUCUUCCCAAAAUUAACACCUUAUGCUAAAUAAAUAUUAACAAAUAUUACUAAAUAUUACUACAGCCUCUUCCAACGCCUGAGCACAUUAUAUAAAAUCUGAGACUAAACCAUACUGUCCCAUUACAAACUUAUUAACGAGGCAUUACAAUUUAUGGAAGUCAUUAGCGUUCCAUCUCGCAGCAACUGGAUGAGCACAUUAUAUAAUGCUAAAAUAAAGACAGUACACUCUCUAAAAAACCCACAACACUCAACACAAACAUAAUUUAAUAACCUCUCAUUGCGAUACAAUUAUCGCACAUGAAAUAUGCCCAAUAAAGGCUAUAAACGCACACUCUACAUAAGCCCUAAAGCUCUUCACGGUCUUAAAACUAUAAUCUUGACACCAUUCACACUUAAUACAUGAAGAAGGUCGUGACGACCCUGACACAUCAAACACAGAAUUCUCCAUUCGGUACUACGUAAUUACUUGAUAUCACCUUUGCUUUCUGUGCCCACUUGCAUGCUACAUACACGUAUGCCACUCAUCUACACCUUCAUAUACCCACAUGCACCUUACUCUCACCCCUCCCCAGGAGGCGACCCCGCUGUUGUCCCCCUGAAAAACCCCUUCCCGUAUGUAAUCCCCAACCCCCCCCCUUACUCACUCAGCCCAAGUCGUAGAUUGAUGAGAAACCUUAACGUUAACAUUCUAUACCCUUCUGAAAAAUCCUUCUCCCAUCUCCUCCCAUACAGUUCUCUAUUACGACACAUCGUACGAUAAACCGUUACUGCUAGUACCCGCCUCCGCCCCCUCACAAUUCCCCCUCCCCCUCAUCACCCACGAUAUAUAUAUAUAAUCCACUAUUAUAUAAUCCAAAGCUCUUAUAACACUCUCAUCGAACCCUCCCACAUCUAGGC